GCCCACCUUCCCCCUCCCCCACACACACCCCGCUACCAGCGCAGUGACGCCGGAGUCGCCGCUGCCGGACCCGGGAGGCCUGAGCGAGGAUCGCACCGCCCGCGGCGCAGGUGUCCUGAAAAAUGGCUGAUGAUAUUGAUAUUGAGGCAAUGCUUGAAGCUCCUUACAAGAAGGAUGAGAACAAAUUGAGCAGUGCCAAUGGCCACGAAGAGCGCAGCAAGAAGAGAAAAAAGAGCAAGAGCCGAAGUCGAAGCCAUGACAGAAAGAGAAGCAGGAGCAAGGAACGCAAACGGAGCCGGGACCGGGAGCGGAAGAAGAGCAGGAGCCGGGAAAGGAAACGGAGCAGAAGCAAAGAGCGCAGACGCAGCCGCUCCAGGAGCAGAGAUCGCAGAUUCAGAGGCCGCUACAGGAGCCCCUAUUCCGGUCCAAAAUUCAACAGUGCCAUCAGAGGGAAGAUUGGUCUGCCUCACAGCAUCAAAUUAAGCAGACGUCGCUCCAGGAGCAAAAGUCCCUUCAGAAAAGACAAGAGCCCUGUUAGAGAACCCAUUGAUAAUCUUACCCCUGAAGAGAGGGAUGCUCGAACAGUAUUCUGCAUGCAGUUGGCUGCAAGAAUCCGACCAAGAGACCUGGAAGAAUUUUUCUCUACAGUAGGGAAGGUUCGUGACGUGCGAAUGAUUUCAGAUAGAAAUUCCAGGCGCUCCAAGGGAAUCGCUUAUGUUGAGUUUGUUGAUGUUAGUUCAGUGCCCCUGGCAAUAGGACUGACUGGACAGAGAGUCCUGGGUGUGCCCAUCAUAGUACAGGCAUCACAGGCAGAGAAAAACAGAGCAGCAGCAAUGGCAAAUAAUCUGCAGAAGGGCAGUGCUGGUCCCAUGAGGCUCUAUGUGGGAUCCUUACACUUCAACAUAACUGAAGAUAUGCUUCGAGGAAUCUUCGAGCCCUUUGGCAGGAUUGAAAGCAUUCAGCUGAUGAUGGACAGUGAAACUGGACGCUCAAAAGGAUAUGGAUUCAUCACGUUCUCAGACUCUGAGUGUGCCAAAAAGGCCUUGGAACAACUGAAUGGAUUUGAGCUGGCUGGGAGGCCGAUGAAAGUGGGCCAUGUCACUGAGCGUACCGAUGCUUCCAGUGCCAGCUCCUUCUUGGACAGCGAUGAGCUGGAGCGGACUGGAAUUGACUUGGGAACAACUGGUCGCCUUCAGCUGAUGGCAAGACUUGCAGAAGGUACUGGUUUGCAGAUUCCCCCAGCUGCACAGCAGGCUCUGCAGAUGAGCGGCUCUUUGGCCUUUGGAGCUGUGACAGAGAAAAUUACUACCAGGAAUUAUGUCAUUGUGGGAGACUUUAACUUCCCUGAUACAGAUUGGAGAAGAAUUGCUAGUAAUAAUGGUGGGGCCCAGAUAUUCCUGGAUGUGAUAUCCGACAAAUUUCUUCAUCAAACACUCACUGACUCAUGAAGAGGGGAUGCUAUUUUAAACUCAUUUGGGUAAGUAAUGAAGAUGUUAUGGAUGAGAAUAGAAAUGACCAUUGACUUGAGGGAUCAUGAGUUGCUCAUGUUUAAAUGAAAGGAUAAACAAACAGGUCUGUAACUAAGGCUUGUGAUUUCAAAAGCAAUGGUUGAAGAAACAAGGCAAUAAAGUCAUCUGGUCUGAGCAAAUCGGGGUGUUUGAACAGGCAGGAUGUGAGGAGUUCUUCUGUUCCACAUUCUAAUGCUGUACUGGGUCUGUAUGACACAGAAAGAAGAAAAAACCCCAUUAAAAAUGGGCUCCACACUGAACCUGGGGGAUUAACUACCUCAAAGAAAUAAGGAAUAAGCACACAGCCUAUGAAGAAUAGGAGAAAGGAUUAACAACAAAAGAAUAUUUUUAGAUUGGGAAACAGAUACAAAGAGAUUUAUCUGCCAACAGUCAGACUGAGCUAGACAUUGUAAAAUACAUGAAAGGACAGAUGGAGGUUUACAACUCUUGGAGAACAAAAACAAAGCAGGGCUCAGGUGAAUGAAAAACUGUUCCCAGGGUGUUUCUAAAAGUAUCUCAUUGCCUCAAGUUUUUAGUGGGUACACUGGUCAUAAAGGUUGGAAUUUGAGGAGGGUAGGCUAGGAAUAUGUAGUAAAAUAAAAAAAUAGAAAUUAAAAAAAAUAUAUAUAUUCCCAAGGUAGAAGCAAAGCUAGAAGAGCUGAAUUUAAACAGUUCAGAGGAGUUCCCACUCCCAUGAAAUGAGUGAGGGAAUAGAUGUGUGAAACAUGAGAUCUCAUCUCUGGUAUUGUCCGUAAGCAUUUACAGUGUGAUGUUGUGUAUAGCUGGAACAUCUAACUCUAUCUGUAUGGGAGGAAAAUGCCAUCUGGCCAGAUUCUGGUCCUGUUACUGUCUUGACUUCACUCCUGCAGAAGUCACACUGAAGAGAGGGGUAAACUGGAGAAUAUUAUGAAAGUGUAGCAUCCUGUCAGAGGAACUGCAUCUCAAGGCUCACAGUCCCUGGCAGAGGAGCAGGAGCAGAGCUCUUCUCACUGAGCUCUGGCAGGUUACUAUGCCAGAGAAGUGGGGAGUACAGGGGGUGUAAAGAAGCUGGCUCAGAGGAUUUUUUGCAGGUGAAAGCUGGGAAGGUGAGAGGCUGCUGUUGAAGCCAGAAUUCAGGUGUUGGGCUUAUCUUGUUUAGCACUUAGAUGAAAAACCACAGUGAAGAGUAGGGGUGAGGUGAGUGAGCACAGAGGUGCUGUCAGUAAGAGUUAUUGGGGUGUUGUAUAUUGUUCACCUCUUUGGGGUUAAAUCACAUUCCAGUUAUGUAGCCUGGGAGAUGAGCAGUGAAGGGUUGCCCAGGAGGAGGAAAAUACCUAAAUGCUGCAGUUUGGGUGACAGGUAUGAGGCAGCUGAUGCCUUGUAAGGGUCAGCUGUGCUCCUGCAGGCAGCACACCCAGCACCUGAGACAAGCUACACAGCCAGGAACAGCUCUGAUCAGCCACCCUCAGCAGGGUUCAGCCAAACUCAGGCAGCUCAAGAAUCAGUUUUACAGGAGGCCUGACAACUUGACCAUUAUUCCCGCAGGAAAAGGAAUGAAAGCUGAAUAGUUGGAGCUGUGUACCCUGUUCUCUGUCUGAACAUGUGAAACUUAUAAUAUUCAGCCUAUAGAGCAUUCCUCUAAUGCUUUCUGGGGCAAAGUAUUCCAUUCUGGUGGAAGGAGCUGUCUGUUUUUGGAAGAUUGGGAAGGUGUGCUGCCAAAGAAGGUUAUCUAGGUGUUACCAUAUGGAACCUCUGCUUGGUCUCUGUUCUCUUACAGUCAUGGCUUGGGAUGCUGGGCAUUACUGGGCAGGCUUUGGCCUAUUUAAAGCCAUCUGGAUUUCAAAAUAAACACACAACUUGGUUUUGUGUUAAGACACAAAGUGUUUGGUAGGUGUUUCUGUAUUUCUGCUGUCCCCUGUGCACUGAGCAUGUACUCCCAUCAGGCCAAAGAGGUUAUAUACACAGAACACACUGGAAAAGUUACUUAGAUCUGAACUCAAAAGAUGUGUUAAUUUUAGUUGCCACAUAUUAUUUAAAACUACAUGUAGGGAAAGAGUUGACAGUAAAGAGAGACAGUGAAUUUCUGAAUUGUGAGUGAUUUUAGAAGCGAGAGGAAAGGACCAUUCUUCAGUCACGAGCAACAAAAGAAUUCAGUGAGCUGAUGAAAGAUCUGGUGAACAGCAGGUUCUGUUUCAGAGUGGUAGAUAAUUAACUGAUAAACCUGUUGCACAAGACAGGGGCAGCUGAUUUUUUCCUGUGUUUACAGCUGUUCUGGCUCUUGGCCCUGGCCAGACUUUGCACUGGUGGUAUGUGCAGCUUUGGUGCAGGAAUUCUGGAGCGUUCGGCUCUGGAGCCCCAGCUGACCCAGCUGGACGUGAUGUGCUGUGCAGUUGGGUCACAGUUGCAGAGGGAGAGUGUCUGUCCUCUAAAGUGAGGGAGUUCAGAGGUUUUAAACACCUUUGUUUUCAAACAGGUAUGAGAAUUAAUGAGGUCAUUAGUUACAGAUUGGCCAAAUCCUUGUAGUUUCUGCAGAGAAUACAGGCUAAAAUAGCCUUUGCUGUUACGAUACUUCUCCCUCUAUGAGGUGAGGUUUUCUUUGUGUUCAGAUCUGGAUGGAAAAGAUGCCAAACUCAGCCAGCUCUUGUUACAGCUUGGCCUGCAGAGCUUGCUCCUUCCAGUCUUGCUUUUCAGUAUGUGUUCUUUGGAAGGCACUUGAGGAAGAUAAAGAGAAAAAUUCACUCCUCUUGGUUCUCCAGUGUUGUUGAGGAGGGUUUAUUAGAAAGGCAAAAUUAUGUUUGCACCUGAUGCCCUCGGGUGUUUCCAGGUCAGCUUGGAAGCUUGCUUGGUGUCCGUCACUGUGCUGCUCUCUAAACCAGUGAAUUAAGAUGAUGGUUUACUUCAGUCUUCUCACUCCUCGUGUCUGUGCUAAAGGGAAAUUACUGAAGGGGCUCAUGCUUACAGUUCUUGAAUUCUGAAUUUUCUGUUGAGGUAGACGUUGAGUGUUGUCAUGGCUAGAAAGUCUGCAUUUGUUUGCUCCCAUCAUUUCAAAUUAGGACAGCUGAAUGUUGCUAAACAAGUAAGUAGUGUUUCCUAGGCAAAUUAAAUGUUCUCAGCUCUUAGAAAAUGUUUUGAGUUUGAAAAGUACCAAAGGUUCUUUUGUCAUUAUGACAUCUGUAUGGAAAGAUAGUGGGUGAAAUACCACCUUAUUCUACUCAGAAUGAAAUUUGACAACUGCUUUGAGAAUGUCAGGUUUCUGUAGCUGUGCCUAACUGCUUUCUGUUAAUAAAGAUGUCAGACCUCUAUUGCCUGUCAGAAUUGCUGUAAUUGUUUUCUCCUGGAAAUGAAUUGUAAAGAGUUGAAGCAGAGCAAAGGCAAGGAGAGGGGGGUACAUUGAAUUAAAGGACAUGUCCUUUGAAGGUGUUGUUUCUCUGGGACAUCCACUGACCUUUGUGGUCAUGGAAUCUUGUCAAGUGCAGAAUGGCCCAGCUGAGGAGCUGAAAUCAGUGAAACCACUCACAGCUAGAGAGGAACUGUGAGAGUGGGUUGAGGCACUGGAAUAAGCUCUUAACCACAGAAGUACAAGCUAAACAACCUGGCUGGCAGGCAGAGAUGGUACCAAACAUACUAAUUAACUUCUCUGUAUUUUUCUUUAGAUUUACAAACGAGACUGUCUCAGCAGAAUGAAGUUCUGGCUGCAGCUGCUUCUGUACAACCACUUGCAACACAGUGCUUCCAGCUUUCCAACAUGUUUAAUCCUCAAACUGAAGAAGAAGCUGGCUGGGACACAGAAAUUAAAGAUGAU